GUUGAUGUAUAUUUUUGGAUGUGUUUUUACUAGUUUUAUCUUUUGAGUAAUAUGUUGUUAGAGUCACCAACCGUCUCUAGAGCAAGUGGCAAAGAAUUUGGUGGUUGGUACCCGAGACCCAAGUUCGAAUCCUAGUUGAUUUACAUUUCUAACUAAGUUUAUUUCUAAAUGAAAUAAACGAAACGGGUAGCGUGUUAUCUAUCUCUCAAAAAAAAUAUGUUGUUAGAGUCAAUUUUAAAUUAUUUUGUUUCAAUACAAUUGGUUAAAUCUUUAUCUCCUACCCCAUCUAUUAUACAUGCGAAUAAAAGUGUUACA
rnacentral:lncRNA from 1 species